AGAGUUUGAUCAUGGCUCAGGACGAACGCUGGCGGCGUGCUUAACACAUGCAAGUCACGGGGGCCCGCAAGGGCAACCGGCGAACGGGUGUGUAACACGUGAGCAAGCUUCCGAUUAGUGGGGGAUAGCCGGCCCAACGGCCGGGUAAUACCGCAUACGUUCAUCGCUCGGCAUCGAGUGAUGAGGAAACCUCCGGGGCUAAUCGAGGCGCUCGCGGCCUAUCAGCUAGUUGGCGGGGUAACGGCCCACCAAGGCUAUGACGGGUAGCUGGUCUGAGAGGAUGGCCAGCCACAUUGGGACUGCGACACGGCCCAGACUCCUACGGGAGGCAGCAGUGGGGAAUAUUGCGCAAUGGACGAAAGUCUGACGCAGCGACGCCGCGUGUAGGAUGACGCCUUUCGGGGUGUAAACUACUGUUGCCCGGGACGAAACUCCUUUUUCGAAAGGACUGACGGUACCGGGUGAGGAAGCACCGGCUAACUCUGUGCCAGCAGCCGCGGUAAUACAGAGGGUGCGAGCGUUGUCCGGAAUCACUGGGCGUAAAGGGCGCGUAGGUGGCUUGGUAAGCGUGUGGUGAAAGUCCGGGGCUCAACCCCGGAUCUGCCGUGCGAACUGCCGAGCUCGAGCAAUGUAGAGGCAGGUGGAAUUUCGGGUGUAGCGGUGGAAUGCGUAGAGAUCCGAAAGAACACCAGUGGCGAAG
rnacentral:rRNA from 1 species